rnacentral:rRNA from 1 species
GGAAUAUUGGUCAAUGGACGGAAGUCUGAACCAGCCAUGCCGCGUGCAGGAAGACUGCCCUAUGGGUUGUAAACUGCUUUUAUAUAGGAAUAAACCCCUCAACGAGUUGGGGGCUGAAUGUACUAUAAGAAUAAGCACCGGCUAACUCCGUGCCAGCAGCCGCGGUAAUACGGAGGGUGCAAGCGUUAUCCGGAUUUAUUGGGUUUAAAGGGUCCGCAGGCGGGAGAAUAAGUCAGUGGUGAAAUCCUAUCGCUUAACGAUAGAACUGCCAUUGAUACUGUUUUUCUUGAGUGUAGUUGAAGUUGGCGGAAUGUGUCAUGUAGCGGUGAAAUGCAUAGAUAUGACACAGAACACCGAUUGCGAAGGCAGCUAACUAAACUAUAACUGACGCUCAUGGACGAAAGCGUGGGGAGCGAACAGGAUUAGAAACCCGAGUAGUCC